rnacentral:rRNA from 1 species
GGUUACUGCUAUCGGUGUUCGCCUAAGCCAUGCGAGUCAUAUGUUCGUAAGAACAUGGCGUACUGCUCAGUAACACGUGGAUAACCUGCCCUUGGGUCCGGCAUAACCCCGGGAAACUGGGGAUAAUUCCGGAUAACGCACAUAUGCUGGAAUGCUUUAUGCGUAAAAUGGAUUCGUCUGCCCAAGGAUGGGUCUGCGGCCUAUCAGGUAGUAGUGGGUGUAAUGUACCUACUAGCCUACGACGGGUACGGGUUGUGAGAGCAAGAGCCCGGAGAUGGAUUCUGAGACAUGAAUCCAGGCCCUACGGGGCGCAGCAGGCGCGAAAACUUUACAAUGCGGGAAACCGUGAUAAGGGGACACCGAGUGCCAGCAUCCUAUGCUGGCUGUCCGGGUGUGUAAAAUACACCUGUCAGCAAGGGCCGGGCAAGACCGGUGCCAGCCGCCGCGGUAACACCGGCGGCCCGAGUGGUGAUCGUGAUUAUUGGGUCUAAAGGGUCCGUAGCCGGUUUGGUCAGUCCUCCGGGAAAUCUGACAGCUUAACUGUUAGGCUUUCGGAGGAUACUGCCAGACUUGGAACCGGGAGAGGUAAGAGGUACUACAGGGGUAGGAGUGAAAUCUUGUAAUCCCUGUGGGACCACCUGUGGCGAAGGCGUCUUACCAGAACGGGUUCGACGGUGAGGGACGAAAGCUGGGGGCACGAACCGGAUUAGAUACCCGGGUAGUCCCAGCCGUAAACGAUGCUCGCUAGGUGUCAGGCAUGGCGCGACCGUGUCUGGUGCCGCAGGGAAGCCGUGAAGCGAGCCACCUGGGAAGUACGGCCGCAAGGCUGAAACUUAA